rnacentral:rRNA from 1 species
GAUGAACGCUGGCGGCGUGCUUAACACAUGCAAGUCGAGCGAAGCAAUCUAAGUGAAGUUUUCGGAUGGAUCUUGGAUUGACUGAGCGGGCGACGGGUGAAGUAACGCGUGGAUAACCUGCCUCACACAGGGGGAUAACAGUUAGAAAUGACUGCUAAUACCACAUAAGCGCACGGCAUCGCAUGAUGCAGUGUGAAAAACUCCGGUGGUGUGAGAUGGAUCCGCGUCUGAUUAGCUAGUUGGUGAGGUAACGGCCCACCAAGGCGACGAUCAGUAGCCGACCUGAGAGGGUGACCGGCCACAUUGGGACUGAGACACGGCCCAG